rnacentral:rRNA from 1 species
UCUCAAAGAUUAAGCCAUGCAUGUCUGAGUGCAAGCCGCAUUAAGGUGAAACCGCGAAUGGCUCAUUAAAUCAGUUAUGGUUCCUUAGAUGGUGGACAGUUACUUGGAUAACUGUGGUAAUUCUAGAGCUAAUACAUGCAACUCGGUCCCGACCGGAGACGGAAGGGACGCUUUUAUUAGAUCAAAACCAAUCGGUCCUCGCGGCCGUUUGCCUUGGUGACUCUGAAUAAAUUGUGGCAGAUCGCACGGUCUCCGUACCGGCGACGCAUCUUUCAAAUGUCUGCCUUAUCAACUGUCGAUGGUAGGUUCUGCGCCUACCAUGGUUGUAACGGGUAACGGGGAAUCAGGGUUCGAUUCCGGAGAGGGAGCCUGAGAAACGGCUACCACAUCCAAGGAAGGCAGCAGGCGCGCAAAUUACCCACUCCCGGCACGGGGAGGUAGUGACGAAAAAUAACGAUACGGGACUCAUCCGAGGCCCCGUAAUCGGAAUGAGCACACUUUAAAUCCUUUAACGAGUAUCCAUUGGAGGGCAAGUCUGGUGCCAGCAGCCGCGGUAAUUCCAGCUCCAAUAGCGUAUAUUAAAGUUGUUGCGGUUAAAAAGCUCGUAGUCGGACUUGUGUCCCACGCUGCCGGUUCACCGCCCGUCGGUGUCUAACUGGCAUGCACGUGCGGACGUCCUGCCGGUGGCCCGAUCUCGGCCCGUCUUCUCCGGGGUUCGGAAACGUUUCCCCGGGGGCGGGUGUCUUUGGGUAGGGCCUACUCAUACCCGUCGCGGUGCUCUUAAUCGAGUGUCUCGAUGGGCCGGCACGUUUACUUUGAACAAAUUAGAGUGCUUAAAGCAGGCAGCAGCCGCCUGAAUACCGAGUGCAUGGAAUAAUGGAAUAGGACCUCGGUUCUAUUUUGUUGGUUUUCGGAAUCCCCGAGGUAAUGAUCAAUAGGGACAGACGGGGGCAUUCGUAUUGCGACGUUAGAGGUGAAAUUCUUGGAUCGUCGCAAGACGGACCGAAGCGAAAGCAUUUGCCAAGAAUGUUUUCUCUGAUCAAGAACGAAAGUUAGAGGUUCGAAGGCGAUCAGAUACCGCCCUAGUUCUAACCAUAAACGAUGCCAGCCAGCAAUCCGCCGAAGUUCCUCCGAUGACUCGGCGGGCGGCUUCCGGGAAACCAAAGCUUUUGGGUUCCGGGGGAAGUAUGGUUGCAAAGCUGAAACUUAAAGGAAUUGACGGAAGGGCACCACCAGGAGUGGAGCCUGCGGCUUAAUUUGACUCAACACGGGAAACCUCACCAGGCCCGGACACCGGGAGGAUUGACAGAUUGAGAGCUCUUUCUUGAUUCGGUGGGUGGUGGUGCAUGGCCGUUCUUAGUUGGUGGAGCGAUUUGUCUGGUUAAUUCCGAUAACGAACGAGACUCUAGCCUGCUAACUAGUCGCAUCCGGUAUCCUCUGUGCUACCGGCGAAUUCUGAUCUUCUUAGAGGGACAGGCGGCUUCUAGCCGCACGAGAUUGA